UAAACGGUCUAUAAAACGAAAAGCAAGAAGCCAAAGAAAAUAGUGACGAACGCGUGCCUGGGAAAUAAAUCAAAAAUGAAUAUUAACAAAUAUAAAAUAUUAUAAAUAAAAACAGAGAAGUUUAUGUGGCCUAGUGAAUUGACAUUUCGAAGUUGAAAAGAAACAACCAACGAAGAACAGAAAUAACAUUUAAGUGCAAAAAUAGUUCUUUUGUGCUUUGCUCUUUCUCAACCUUAAAGAACAGAAAACGACGCCUGCUCUCUCAGCAACGGAAGUAAUCAACGUUAACUAGAACAAUAUGACACGUGUCCGACGUAUUGUGUUUGUGCAACAUUAAUGUAGUGAGAAUUGCAAAUGGCAGCGCUUGACAGUAUGCUACAAAUUAUGAAAGAGUAAAACUUAAAGCGCUUAUAUGUAGGCAACGUUUUUAAUGGAACAUGUAGAUGUGCUGACGGAAGCGCUGUGAAACUAAUUACACCGCCAGGAAGCAGAAAGAGGUCUAAACAAUUGAAAAUCAUUGAAAUGCUAAAUAAAUUUAUUAUUUAGCUUAAAUAACGGAUUAACACGAAUUACGUUUGUAAUUACAACAACAGCGCAUUAACGAGGCAAUACAAAAUAUAUGAAACGUCAACUUUAUGCAGAAAAAUACAAAUAAAGUAAACAAAAUUACCACAAAUUCCUGAGAAGGGCAGGAAAGCAGACAUCAACAACAAUUUUACUAAUAAAUUAAAACCAUUUUCGCCGAAAUAAAGAACUAAGCCAAAGGAAUUUCAUAGAACAGUAACAAAGCACUGAACGAGGAUUUGCUAAAAAAAAUCAAAUAUAUUUCAAUAAUAAUACAACAAAAAGGAAUUGAAGUAAAUUGAAGAACUAGACAGUAAAUAAUAUGUGAAAUCAAUAAGGCAUUGCAAUGAGCAUAGCCAAUGUUUUAUACCAACAAUAACAAUAAGAGGGCAAGGAGCAUCAAUUUAAUGCUGAGUACGUGAGACACAUAAAUACUUUUUUUCCUUGGAAACUCGCUGAUUGAUUGCAAAAGCGAAGCUUCAACUAAGUACUGAGUGCAAUAUCCGUGCACUACACACCAUUCGAGAAUUGCAUGCAUAAGGAAUUAUAUUUUGCAGUUUAAUCUAAGUAGCAGCAAUCAUGGCGGAAGGCGAUAAUUAUGAUGAUGAGUUGGUUUCCAGCAAUCCAAAUCAGCGCAAUUGGCGUGGCAUUUUCAUCGCUCUGUUGGUUAUAAUAAUUGUGCUCGCUUUAAUUGUUACCUCAGUGGUACUCCUCACACCACCCGAUGAGGGGCCGCGCGUCAAGGGGCAACGCAUCAAAUUACAAGAUAUAGUGGAUGGACUUUUUCUGCCGCAACGAUCCAAUGGUACAUGGAUUAAUGGAGAGGAGUUCCUUUAUCAGGAUCAUUGGGGACGAAUUGUGUUAUUGAAUGCAUCAAGUCUCAACGAGCGAGUGCUCAUGUCCAAUGUGACAUAUAAAACUUUUGCGCCCUAUACAUUUUCGUUGUCAGCUGAUAAGCGUUACAUCUUAUUGGCCCAGAAUGUAGUUAAGCUUUUCCGGCAUUCAUUUUUGGCACAAUAUACGCUCUUUGAUAUACAAACGAGUGAAAGCAUCAAAUUGAAAAUCGAUUCACAUAGCGAUGAGUGGCCAUAUCUGCACUAUGCUCGCUUCGUAAGCACAGCUCGAGGCGACAAUGCUACAACCUCCUCAACCGCCAGUAACGCGCUCGUGUUGGUCUACAACUAUGACAUCUACUACUGCCAAGGGCCACGCUCCACCAAUAAUGUGUACCGUAUAACACGCGACGCUGUGCCGGGCAUCGUCUAUAAUGGCAUACCAGAUUGGCUCUAUGAAGAGGAAAUCCUGCAUACAAAUAAUGCAAUUUGGCUAUCGCAGAAUGGACACUUUAUGCUGUACGGUGCGUUCAACGACUCUUUGGUGCAGGAGCAACAUUUCGCUUGGUAUGGCACAACAAGUGGCGGCAAUCCGAAUGCGUAUCUCUAUCCGGAAAUCAGAUCAUUAAGGUAUCCCAAACCAGGCACACAAAAUCCUAUUGCAAAACUUCGCGUCGCUGACAUACAGAAUCCGGAAGAUAUUAAAAUAAGAGAGCUACAACCACCACAAGUAUUGCAAAAUGAAGAUCACUACUUUAGCAGCGCCAGUUGGGUGAGUGAAACGGAAAUCUGUGUUGUUUGGUUAAAUCGCCCGCAAAACAUUUCAGUGGUGAGCAUCUGCCACAGUCCAUUGUUUAUAUGCGUUGAGACACAUCGGGUGAGCGGCGAUGGACGCGGUUGGGUGGACACAAUUUCGGUGCCAUUGUUUGCAGAGAAUGCAACUUCCUAUGUUGCCAUAUCGCCAUUGCGUGACGGCGCUUCCGGUUACUUCCGGCACAUUGUGCACGUGCAUGUGUCCAAGAAGCGUGUACUACCACUAACGCAUGGCCAGUAUGAGGUAAAUGAGUUGCUACAUUGGGAUCAGCUCAAUAAUUGGAUCUACUUCCUCGGCACACCGGAGCGCCUGCCGGGGCAACAGCACCUUUAUCGUGUCUCCGCUUUGCCACCACGUCACGGCUCAGCACACCAACUACCCGACUGUCUGACGUGUCCCGCACAAUUGCGUAGCAGCCAUCAGGGUACUGAGGGUCACACAAAAUCACCACCAAAACUGGUCACCGCUUGGGAUGACGAUUGGGAGGAUUCGGAAGAGCGUCAAACAUUACCACCGCCCACUUUGACGCCCGAACAUAAACACGCUAAAGCGCCGCACGCACACACCGAACCGAAUGAAUGCCUCUAUCAUACCGCCAAAUUUCCGUUAACGCUACAAGCACAUUAUGUACUCAUCGAAUGUUUGGGCCCGAUGGUGCCUACAACCAGUGUUUAUGCACUAACCAACAUCUACAGCGAUGAGCAUGGCAAGAAGUCGCUAGCAAAGAAUGCUGAAGCGCUGGAACUUCUCGUGACUGUGCAGAAUAAUACGCGUUUGAAGGAGAAAAUGCUGCGUACUGCAUUGCCGCAAGUCAAGACGUUCCCCGUUAUGAUAUCCGGCGGUUAUCAUGCACAAGUACGUCUCUACUUGCCGCCCGUACUGCGCGAAGAUGAAAUUACUCGCUACCCCACCAUAUUGCAUGUCUACUCGGGUCCGGGCACUCAACUUGUUACGGAGAAAUGGCAUAUCGACUGGAAUACUUACUUAUCGGGUACGAAAGAUUAUAUCGUUGUUGAAAUUGAUGGCCGUGGCUCGUCCGGGCAGGGUUAUCAGCUAUUGCACGAGAUCUAUAAGCGUCUCGGUUCGGUUGAGGUGUCCGAUCAGCUGGAGGUGAGUGAAUAUUUGCGUGACAAUUUGCACUUUAUCGACGGUCGGCGUAUGGGUGUGUGGGGUUGGAGUUAUGGUGGAUAUACGGCAGCAUUGGCGUUGGCCGGCACACAAUCGAUCUUCCAGUGUGGCAUCAGUGUGUCGCCGGUGACGAAUUGGAAGCUUUACGAUUCUACCUACGCCGAACGCUAUUUGAGCUUCCCAAAUGUGACGGAUAAUUACAAGGGCUACGAGGAGGGCGAUCUCUCCAAAUAUGUGGAUAAUUUGCGUGAUCGGCAAUUUCUGUUGGUGCACGGCACUGCCGAUGACAAUGUUCAUGUGCAGCAAUCAAUGGUGUUGGCGCGUGCACUCACCAAUAAAGGUGUACUCUACAAACAACAAAUCUAUCCCGAUGAAGGUCACAGUUUGGCGGGUGUGAAGAGACAUUUGUACCGUUCGAUGACAAGUUUCUUUGAGGAUUGUUUUAAGAAAUUGCUUGAGCAACAACUGAGUAACCAAACUGAUUCCGCGGAUUUCCUAGACUUUCAUAGUCUAUAUGUAAAUAUAUAAACAGAAAAUUGACGGAUUUAUAUAAGUGACACAGAGUGCACCAAAAGCUUACACUGUGCACACGAUCGUCGGGAUCGUUUAUGUGAAAUUCAUUAUUUAAGGUGCCGCCCGAAUCUAAAGCUGGCCUUGGAAAUGGUGGUGCUAGUGAUAUGCAACAGCAAUAAAAUUAUGCAAAUGCUUUAAUAUAAAUUGUUUGAUUUCUU
rnacentral:misc_RNA from 1 species